ensembl:snoRNA C34E11.20 ncRNA
CUUCUUGGGAGUCGAAAGAUUUCGAAAUGACAAAAUUGCGAAAUCGGGCUACUUGAGUCCGAGUCCUCAUAUUUCAUGAUCACAAGUUCUCGAGUUUCAGGAAUACACUCUGUAAUAUUCUACAUUUUCAGAACUUCAGAAUAAAUUAUGUGUCCCGAAAAGCUUGUAUU